GACGGAGGAUGCAAGCGUUAUCCGGAAUGAUUGGGCGUAAAGCGUCCGCAGGUGGCAGUUCAAGUCUGCUGUUCAAAGACCGGGGCUUAACUUCGGAAAGGCAGUGGAAACUGAACAGCUAGAGUAUGGUAGGGGCAGAGGGAAUUCCUGGUGUAGCGGUGAAAUGCGUAGAGAUCAGGAAGAACAUCGGUGGCGAAGGCGCUCUGCUGGACCAUAACUGACACUCAGGGACGAAAGCUAGGGGAGCGAAUGGG
rnacentral:rRNA from 1 species